rnacentral:tRNA from 1 species
AUAAGCAGAUUAAAAAUCUACCACCUUUAUCGGUCAUCGAAUUAGGGCAUUAACCC